rnacentral:lncRNA from 1 species
UCCCAGCACCAUCCACGCUCCAGCCCUGCAGCCCCUGAUCCCAGUCAUCCCAACCAUCCCAAUCCCAGCCCUGCAGCCCCCGUGCUCUGAGGAAGGGGACUGCACAAGCAGGAGGCAGGGACACGGCCCCAAACAGGGCCAGGGAAUGUCUCAACUCGGCCACUUUGGUCCCUGUAUUCCCUCUUUUCCUUUGGGAAUAGCAAAGGCAGCGCUGUCCCCCUGGAAUGUCCUGGUGCAGCCCGGCAAGGGGACACCACUGUCCCCUCGUCCUGCUCCUGUGCCCCAGGAGAGGAGUGUCCCACUCCUCCCUCCUCACACGGGGACAGGGAUGUGCCCAGAGAUUUUGGUCCAUGACAUGAUUCCAAGUCAGGGGUGGUCCCAAAAGCUGCCACCAUGGCUGGGAAGGCUCAGGGUGGCUCAGGGUGCCCAGUCACUCCAGAGCAGGGUGCUGGAGGGGGACACUCACCCAGGUCAGUCCCAGUGUGGUGCCAGAGGGGGAGGAUCCCUCACACCCGGCUCAGAGGAGGCACAGGGAUAGGGGCUGAUCCUGCUGGCAGGUGGGGGGCUCAGGAGGGUCCCAAAAACCCGGCGGCAGCAGCAAGAGAAAAGCAGGAAGGUUCGGGGUGAAUUUGGGGAGCGGCCAGUGCUGUGAGGAAGAGGCUUCCAGGGGACACCCAGACCCCGGUCAGGGGGAGCUGGAGCUGCAGGGGGGCUCAGCCCAACUCCAACCCUGGAGCCAGAGCAACCCCAAAGCUGCUCCUUCGCCCAGGGGAAAUCAAGGAGGUGGAAAGGGUCAGCUGGAGCCCAAGGCAGGAGCACCCAGAGCCACCCCCAGGGCUGCCCGGAGCAGUCUCUGGGGAUCCCGAGGACAAAGGCUUUGUUUGAGAUUUUAACUGCGAAUGUUUUCCUGUUUUGAGGACUGAAGGGAGCAAAGACUGAACGGGAACUGCGCAGAGGGGCCGGGAGGAGCAGUGGGAUGGGCCAGAGCCGGGGCAGGUGGAGGCUUCCAACCCAUCCCUGCAGCCCAGGGCACCCUGGGGAUGAGCAUCCC